CCAGCUCGGGGCGCUGGCCCGCGUCGCCGCGCCAGUAGCGCCGCACGGUAUCGCGAAAGCGGUCGUUCCAUUCGGCGAAGCCGGGC
rnacentral:tRNA from 1 species